AAAAGCAGCAGGUAAAAUGUUACAUAGCUAAUAAAAAAAUUCUAAUCAAAGCAUCCUAUGUCAAAACAGAGAUUAAAAAAAUAGAGACGAAAAUGAAGCCUUACAACCAAGCUGACCACGCUUUAAGCAUAUUCAUAUUCAUCUAUAAAAUACUAAAAGCAAAAUUAUAGUGUUAAAAACUGUCAAGGCAUCCACUGACUAAGAAACCAACAAAAAACUGCAUAUCUUGUGAUUAAAUACUGCAAUGGCAUUCAUGACUGAGUACCUAAGGCCUAAUAUAUAUAUGCAACUAUAACCAACAACAUUCUAGAAAUGUAAACCAAAUUGAAGGAAUGAGCAAUUUAAUCACUCAUAAGGCAAGAAGCCAUGUUUCAGGGAACAAAGUAUAAUGAGAUUUCACCAUUUUCCAAACACAAAACACCAGCAGCAAUGAUGUCACAAUAAUUUUAUUGCUCUGCAAAUAAAAGUUCUGGAAGCAAAUUAGAAGAUUAGAUCCAACAUUUUCAAACCCAACAUCACUACAGAAGCAAACAAGACUAUAAUUCACUUAGCAUGCAAUAAAAAUUUAAAAAAUCAAAACUUUGAAACAGAUAACAGCUCAAGCAAGGAGGGAGAAAGGCAAACAUAGGGAAAUCAUUGCCAAGAAAUUCACAUAAAAAACUAGUUUUUAAACCAAAAGCAUAAAAACCCAAAA
rnacentral:misc_RNA from 1 species